rnacentral:rRNA from 1 species
UGGGGAAUAUUGCACAAUGGGCGCAAGCCUGAUGCAGCCAUGCCGCGUGUAUGAAGAAGGCCUUCGGGUUGUAAAGUACUUUCAGCGGGAGGAAGGGAGUAAAGUUAAUACCUUUGCUCAUUGACGUUACCCGCAGAAGAAGCACCGGCUAACUCCGUGCCAGCAGCCGCGGUAAUACGGAGGGUGCAAGCGUUAAUCGGAAUUACUGGGCGUAAAGCGCACGCAGGCGGUUUGUUAAGUCAGAUGUGAAAUCCCCGGGCUCAACCUGGGAACUGCAUCUGAUACUGGCAAGCUUGAGUCUCGUAGAGGGGGGUAGAAUUCCAGGUGUAGCGGUGAAAUGCGUAGAGAUCUGGAGGAAUACCGGUGGCGAAGGCGGCCCCCUGGACGAAGACUGACGCUCAGGUGCGAAAGCGUGGGGAGCAAACAGG